GACAAUCCGUAGGUGAACAAGAAGGAUCUGAAGAAAGAGCUUGAACAGCUUGAGCAAUGAGACCACACCACUCGAGGGCGAAAACGAAGGCCUCAUACCUAGGUUUAGUAGUGUGUGUGUAACAAAAUAUUUUGUUGAUUAAUUUUGUAUCAGCUUUUUGUUAGUAGUUGACGAUCAAAAGGCAUGCAUGUAAUAUUUAUGAAUUUAUCAAUGUCAUUGUAUGGCCCUACUGGUUUUGAAAUCUCAAACCUAUUGCUGCAGUUUUUGCACCCUACGUCCGCUAGGUGAGGGCCAUGAGGUUAUACUUUUUUUUUUUUGACAAGGUUACAUAGAAAUGGAACUUGAUGUUGGGUUUAUGUGCC
rnacentral:lncRNA from 1 species